GUAUUACUCCCUCCGUUCCGAAUUACUUGUCACAAGUAUGGAUGUAUCUAGAUGUAUUUUAGUUCUAGAUACAUCCAUUUCUACGACGAGUAAUUUGGAACGGAGGGAGUAACAC
rfam:Triticum aestivum genome assembly, contig: Triticum_aestivum_CS42_TGACv1_scaffold_569542_7AS